CACACAUUUCCCAAGAGACAUGCUGGAUCCGAGAUGGCAAUCUAAUGGAUGCUAGAGAUGGAGAAUUGAACACAUGAAGUCAUCAGGCAGAAGAAUGCCACUGUAGGAAAGAGCACCCUGUGUUAGGGUCACAACUGCCCUAGCUGAGAGCGCCACAAUGGCUCAGCCAUAGCCGAGGCAAUCCUGUAACUCUGGUGUCCUCAGAACGCCACUUGCUCCUGCUGCCAGGUGGUGGCCAAAAGAUAUAUAAGGGCUUGGCUACACUUGCGAGUUACAGUGCAAUAAAGGAGCCCCGGGCAAACUAGCUCACUACCCGUCCAUGCUGGCAAGACUCUGGUGCUGCCCCCGCAACCUGCCGUUUCUACAAAGAGCUGGACGUGAUACUUGGGGGCGACCCCACCUCCACUCCGAGUACCACCAUGGACACUUCAGAGCCCAGUUCAACAAGGUGGGAGGAAGAGGAGCAAAGCAGGAGCGAGGGUGCUGAGGCGGAGGAAGACACCCCAGAAUCCCUAGAUGCAUGCAGCCAGGAGCUGUUCUCAAGCCAGGAGGAAGGUAGCCAGUCGCGGCGGCCGGUGCUUGGGGAAGGACAAACACCAGAGGAGGUUCCCAAUGCAACCGUGAGAUCUCAGCCAUCCGUGUUAUCACAGGCUGAAAGACUCCAAAGAAUCAGAAAGAGGCCACGUAGAAGCAAGGAAGACACGUUGCAUGAAGUAAUGCAGCAUUCAAGUAAUGAAAAUUGAAAAGUGCAGGAGUGGCGGGACAGUGAAA